CCGCCAGACUCCUACGGGAGGCAGCAGUGGGGAAUAUUGCACAAUGGGGGAAACCCUGAUGCAGCGACGCCGCGUGAGCGAUGAAGUAUUUCGGUAUGUAAAGCUCUAUCAGCAGGGAAGAAAAUGACGGUACCUGACUAAGAAGCCCCGGCUAACUACGUGCCAGCAGCCGCGGUAAUACGUAGGGGGCAAGCGUUAUCCGGAUUUACUGGGUGUAAAGGGAGCGUAGACGGCGGUGCAAGCCAGAUGUGAAAGCCCGGGGCUCAACCCCGGGACUGCAUUUGGAACUGUGCUGCUAGAGUGUCGGAGAGGCAGGCGGAAUUCCUAGUGUAGCGGUGAAAUGCGUAGAUAUUACGCAGAACUCCGAUUGCGAAGGCAGCGCACCGGCGCCCUACUGACGCUCAGGCACGAAAGCGUGGGUAUCGAACAGGAUUAGAUACCCGGGUA
rnacentral:rRNA from 1 species